ensembl:misc_RNA Metazoa_SRP Metazoan signal recognition particle RNA
GCUGGGCAUGGUGGUGCAUGCCUGUAAUCCCAGUUACUGGGAAGCUGAGGCAGGAGAAUCGCUUGAACCCAGGAGGCAAAGGUUGCAGUGAGCUGAGAUCAUGCCACUGCACUCCAGCCUGGGCCACUUAGCCAGACUCUGUCUCAA